rnacentral:rRNA from 1 species
AGGGCACCACCAGGAGUGGAGCCUGCGGCUUAAUUUGACUCAACACGGGAAAACUCACCCGGCCCGGACACUGGAAGGAUUGACAGAUUGAGAGCUCUUUCUUGAUUCAGUGGGUGGUGGUGCAUGGCUGUUCUUAGUUGGUGGAGUGAUUUGUCUGGUUAAUUCCGAUAACGAACGAGACUCUAGCCUACUAAAUAGAUCGUCGGCUUACAAACGCCGGCGAGACUUCUUAGAGGGACAGGCGGCGAUUCAACCGCACGAAACAGAGCAAUAACAGGUCUGUGAUGCCCUUAGAUGUCCGGGGCCGCACGCGCGCUACACUGAAGUGGUCAGCGUGCUUUUUCAACCUACUCUGUCAAGAGUGGGGAACCCAAUGAACCUUCUUCGUGAUUGGGAUAGGGGGUUGUAAUUAUUCCCCUUGAACGAGGAAUUCCCAGUAAGCGCGAGCCAUAAGCUCGCGUUGAUUACGUCCCUGCCCUUUGUACACACCGCCCGUCGCUACUACCGAUUGAAUGUUUU